CCGGGGGUUAAAGCCACAAAAACACAAUUGCAAUUUUAGAAGCUCAACUGGGAUUCAAGGAGGAGGGGACGGGGAGGGGGGAGAGAAAGACCAAACCUACUUCAGCCUUUUCAACCAGGAAGCUUGGGUGAUUGGAGGAACAAUACACUAUUCUUGAACACAACCCAAGCCUAGCUUGGAUCAUCUGCCUCCUUGGGAGUGAACUCAAAAGCCGGGCGACGGGCUGGGGCGGUUUCAUCCAUGAUGACCACAGGUUCCCGUGCGUGAGCGGUAGUGAACACACUCAAACCAUACCCAUAUCAUAGCGGGGUUGGAGAAGUUCUGAUCUCCAAAUGUAGUUUUAAGCCGGGCAGCUAUGGAAGGCACUUCACAAGACAAGGAGGGGAUGGACGCAUACUUCUCAAGAUCCAGGUUUCCCAUUUCACGUUUGUGAAGAUCUGAAGGAGAACAUCUUCCUCCAGAGCUGGAUGAGCGCGUCUUCUCACAGCUUCCCAGCCCAUGCACAAACCGCCAUGCAGCAGACGUCAAGAGGAGGAGGAUUUUUAUUUUUCAGACUGAGAAAUAGAAAAAAAGGGAAGAAGACUUUCCGGUUACUGUAAAACCCGUGUAGGAGUUGAGCGAGCAGCAGUGAGCAGACAGCGCUGUUUCAAGCCUCCUACGCCGCUCCCACCCUCCGGUGACUUUCUCGCAGGGUCCCUUCCGGUAGAAGGGAGUCGAUACAAGGUCUUGUAGUGUAGAGUUUACAGGGAAAUUUCCCCGGGGUUCAACCAGGAACAAACAUUCUUUUUUUUUUUUUUUCCUCCGAAACUAAUGGCUUUAAUCUUCGAGCGCACUGUCGUCGAGUAAAAUUGAUCCUGUAUUCUUCCUUUGUCGUGGAAUUGUUAACACCCAGAGUGCAGCUUUGUGGCUGCCCUAUGAAUAAGACUUUGCAGCUCUCAUUUUGUUCGUAGCUUCGUGUGCUCUUAGAAAAUGUAUACUCCCUUCAUUGUGAUGUGCCCAGUUAGUUAUUUAUUUAUCUAUUUAUUUAUUUUUACUGCCAUGGGUUGUUGUAGAAGGAUUCUGAUGCUGUAC